AAUAUUUUGCUAAAUAAAUAUGCACAUUUGAUUAGGCUUUCAAAGUUUGCAUGAGGCAGGGGAAACUUCAUGAUCUACUUGAGCAUAAAUGUGCACAUUUGAUUAGGAUUUUGUAGUUUGCAUGAGGUGCGGGGAAACUUCAUGAUCUACUUGGGGGGCAUAAAUAUGCACAUUUGUUUAGGAUUUCAUAAUUUGCAUGAGGUGAGGGGAAACUUCAUGAUCUACUUGAGCAUACAUAUGCACAUUUGAUUAGGAUUUCGUAGUUUGCAUGAGGUGCUGGGAAUUUCAUGAACUCCUUGAGCAUAGUAAUAUGUUACUCCCUCAGAUCCAUAUAUUAACUGUCGCACAAAUGGAUGUAUCUAGC
rnacentral:lncRNA from 1 species